rnacentral:rRNA from 2 species
GGGGGGGAGAAGUAGGGAUCUUCCGCAAUGGACGAAAGUCUGACGGAGCAACGCCGCGUGAGUGAUGAAGGUUUUCGGAUCGUAAAGCUCUGUUGUUAGGGAAGAACAAGUGCCGUUCAAAUAGGGCGGCACCUUGACGGUACCUAACCAGAAAGCCACGGCUAACUACGUGCCAGCAGCCGCGGUAAUACGUAGGUGGCAAGCGUUGUCCGGAAUUAUUGGGCGUAAAGGGCUCGCAGGCGGUUUCUUAAGUCUGAUGUGAAAGCCCCCGGCUCAACCGGGGAGGGUCAUUGGAAACUGGGGAACUUGAGUGCAGAAGAGGAGAGUGGAAUUCCACGUGUAGCGGUGAAAUGCGUAGAGAUGUGGAGGAACACCAGUGGCGAAGGCGACUCUCUGGUCUGUAACUGACGCUGAGGAGCGAAAGCGUGGGGAGCGAACAGGAUUAGAUACCCUGGUAGUCCACGCCGUAAACGAUGAGUGCUAAGUGUUAGGGGGUUUCCGCCCCUUAGUGCUGCAGCUAACGCAUUAAGCACUCCGCCUGGGGAGUACGGUCGCAAGACUGAAACUCAAAGGAAUUGACGGGGGCCCGCACAAGCGGUGGAGCAUGUGGUUUAAUUCGAAGCAACGCGAAGAACCUUACCAGGUCUUGACAUCCUCUGACAAUCCUAGAGAUAGGACGUCCCCUUCGGGGGCAGAGUGACAGGUGGUGCAUGGUUGUCGUCAGCUCGUGUCGUGAGAUGUUGGGUUAAGUCCCGCAACGAGCGCAACCCUUGAUCUUAGUUGCCAGCAUUCAGUUGGGCACUCUAAGGUGACUGCCGGUGACAAACCGGAGGAAGGUGGGGAUGACGUCAAAUCAUCAUGCCCCUUAUGACCUGGGCUACACACGUGCUACAAUGGACAGAACAAAGGGCAGCGAAACCGCGAGGUUAAGCCAAUCCCACAAAUCUGUUCUCAGUUCGGAUCGCAGUCUGCAACUCGACUGCGUGAAGCUGGAAUCGCUAGUAAUCGCGGAUC